CUGGGUUCCAGGGUGCUCACUGGGUGGUUCCCCCAGUGCCCCGCUCCUACAGUGACUGCAGCCAGCAGCACCCAGGAGACGGAACCUCCCCGCCCAGCCCGGCGCCCGCCAGCCCUGGUGCCGUUUUUAUAGCAGCAUGCCUCUAGCAAUCAAGACACCUGGCACCUCGGAGGGCCGACUUCCAGAAGGAUUUGCCACAGGGCACCACAACAACUUCUCUGCCAUUCAGAGUCACAGCUGCACAGGUCUGGAUCUCCGCCUGGGGCCGGCGUGGGGGCUCUCUCAGUCCUGGGGCUGGUUCACUGGAGUUUUCUUUCUUUGUUACUAGCCAGCCCCUCAUGGCUGUAAUCCCUUGCUCUAGUAAAUAAUUCUUUAUAUUGAAUUUUCUCUGUUCAAAUUACUACGUGAUUUCUCUCUCCGGACUGGACUCAGACUGAUACAAGUAUGGACCCCCUAGAAGGAACAACAAAUGGAGCUGCCGUCUAUAUACACACGUGAGAUGGAAUUCGUGUUUUAGAUCCUUUCCAACACCUGGCUGUCUCAGAGGGCGGAGGACACGGGUCCCACCUCACACGUGGCAGCCGGCCCUGGCGCAGGCACCUGUUCCCAGCUGAGGCAAUCAGAACCCACCUGGGAUUUUUUUUCAUCCUCGAAGCCAACUUCUCUCCCUUAAACUAAAGCAGAAAGAGUGUGAGGAUGUGACUUCAGAACUGCCUGCUCCAUCCCUUGCCCAGGGGUCGAUUUAGGUCUCUGUCUCUGGCAACUGAAAAGAGACCCAACAAAACAUCUUACAGAGCACCAGGGCCAAUUCUUGAUGCGUCGUUAGAUUCUGUGUAGCCAGAAAGCAGAAACAGAAACAUAUCCAAGCCAGGCGGAGGAAAAACUUUGAGGCCUGUUUAUCCAGGUUCAAGACAAUUUCUAUUUAAAAAAAAAAAAAAGAAAAAAAGAGAGAAAAAAAAAGCUCAUAACAGAAUAAGUUCAGCUUCUCCUGAGUGUCAGAGCUAAGAUCUAACGCCUCUGCUGGUUUCCAUGACAACCACCAGCAGCUACAAUCAUGCCGAACCAAGAACCAGAGGAUUCAGUAACUUUA
rnacentral:lncRNA from 10 species